GUAAAAUUUUCCCAAGUUUUCACUUGGCUGCCUCAGAAUUACGGAAAAUGGAAUCUCGGUUGUACCUGAAGCAAGCUUUCCAGAUGGUCUUACCUCAAUGCUCCUAUUCACUAUCGCAAUAGGCUUGAUGACACCGUAAACCGACUCAAUAACUCCCGCAGAUCCUCCACGAACCUGCAAAUUGACGGAUCCAUUGAGAGCGAGGCGAAUUCCAGUAUGGGAAAUCGAGGAACGAGAAUUGAC
rnacentral:misc_RNA from 1 species